rnacentral:rRNA from 1 species
AGAGUUUGAUCCUGGCUCAGAUUGAACGCUGGCGGCAGGCUUAACACAUGCAAGUCGAGCGGAGAUGAGGUGCUUGCACCUUAUCUUAGCGGCGGACGGGUGAGUAAUGCUUAGGAAUCUGCCUAUUAGUGGGGGACAACAUUCCGAAAGGAAUGCUAAUACCGCAUACGUCCUACGGGAGAAAGCAGGGGAUCUUCGGACCUUGCGCUAAUAGAUGAGCCUAAGUCGGAUUAGCUAGUUGGUGGGGUAAAGGCCUACCAAGGCGACGAUCUGUAGCGGGUCUGAGAGGAUGAUCCGCCACACUGGGACUGAGACACGGCCCAGACUCCUACGGGAGGCAGCAGUGGGGAAUAUUGGACAAUGGGGGGAACCCUGAUCCAGCCAUGCCGCGUGUGUGAAGAAGGCCUUAUGGUUGUAAAGCACUUUAAGCGAGGAGGAGGCUACUGAGACUAAUACUCUUGGAUAGUGGACGUUACUCGCAGAAUAAGCACCGGCUAACUCUGUGCCAGCAGCCGCGGUAAUACAGAGGGUGCGAGCGUUAAUCGGAUUUACUGGGCGUAAAGCGUGCGUAGGCGGCUUUUUAAGUCGGAUGUGAAAUCCCCGAGCUUAACUUGGGAAUUGCAUUCGAUACUGGGAAGCUAGAGUAUGGGAGAGGAUGGUAGAAUUCCAGGUGUAGCGGUGAAAUGCGUAGAGAUCUGGAGGAAUACCGAUGGCGAAGGCAGCCAUCUGGCCUAAUACUGACGCUGAGGUACGAAAGCAUGGGGAGCAAACAGGAUUAGAUACCCUGGUAGUCCAA